UAACCAUGGUGGGGGCAUUCAAGCUGGUAACUCUUUAAUCUCUCCCAAGCGUUUCUGAAUGAUACUCGUGGAUCUUGGCGGAAACUGGAGAUUUUCUUCCUUACAUC
rfam:Brassica napus, WGS project CCCW01000000 data, contig: 680